rnacentral:rRNA from 1 species
AUUGAACGCUGGCGGCAGGCCUAACACAUGCAAGUCGAGCGAGCGGCGGACGGGGGAGAAAUGUCUGGGAAACUGUCCGUUGGAGGGGGAUAACUACUGGAAACGGUAGCUAAUACCGCAUACGAUCAGAUGUGCCCAGGUGGGAUUAGCGAGUAGGUGGGGUAACGGCUCACCUAGGCGACGAUCCCUAGCUGGUCUGAGAGGAUGACCAGCCACACUGGAACUGAGACACGGUCCAGACUCCUACGGGAGGCAGCAGUGGGGAAUAUUGCACAAUGGGCGCAAGCCUGAUGCAGCCAUGCCGCGUGUAUGAAGAAGGCCUUCGGGUUGUAAAGCACUUUCAGCGGGGAGGCGUUACCCGCAGAAGAAGCACCGGCUAACUCCGUGCCAGCAGCCGCGGUAAUAC